GGACAUUUAGCUUAGUGGUAGAGCGUUCCGUUCACAUCGGAAAGGUCACUGGUCCGAUUCCAGUAAUGUCCACCA
rnacentral:tRNA from 1 species